rnacentral:tRNA from 253 species
GGUGAGGUGGCCGAGAGGCUGAAGGCGCUCCCCUGCUAAGGGAGUAUACGGUCAAAAGCUGUAUCGAGGGUUCGAAUCCCUCCCUCACCGCCA